GGUGAAAGUGUUUGGAGACGGGAACCUGCGUGUAGCAGUCGCUGGUCAGCGGUGGACCUUCAGCCCCUCCUGCCUGGUGGCCUACCGGCCCGAGGAGGAUGCCAACCUGGAUGUGGCCGAGCGCGCCCGGGAGAACAAAAGUGCGGCACAGCUCAGGCGGCCAGUGGGAGGUGGGGCUGCCCCUGGCCACCACUAACCUCAGCCCUGCCCCCAGGCUCACUGAGCGUGGCCCUGGACAAGCUUCGGGCCCAGAAGAGUGACCCAGAGCACCCGGGAAGGCUGGUGGUGGAGGUGGCGCUGGGUAACGCAGCCCGGGCUCUGGACCUGCUGCGGAGGCGCCCAGAGCAGGUGGACACCAAGAACCAAGGCAGGACCGCUCUGCAAGUGGCUGCCUACCUGGGCCAGGUGGAGUUGAUACGGCUGCUGCUACAAGCCAGGGCGGGCGUGGACCUGCCGGACGACGAGGGCAACACGGCGCUGCACUACGCAGCCCUGGGGUGAGGCCUGGGAGGGGCCCGGCAGGGCUGAGCCUGUGCGUCCUGGGGUGAGGCCUGGGAGGGGCCCGGCAGGGCUGAGCCUGUGCGUCCUGGGGUGAGGCCUGGGAGGGGCCCGGCUGGCGGGGCUGAGCCUGUGCGUCCUGGGGUGAGGCCUGGGAGGGGCCUGGCGGGGCUGAGCCUGUGCGUCCUGGGGUGGGGCCUGGCGGGGCUGAGCCUGUGCGUCCAGCCACCGGGCCGGCGCCCUCCCUCUCCCACUUCCUCUCCUGUCAGGAACCAGCCCGAGGCCGCCAGGGUGCUCCUGAGUGCUGGGUGCCGGGCGGACGCCAUCAACAGCACCCAGAGCACCGCACUGCACGUGGCCGUGCAGAGGGGCUUCCUGGAGGUGGUGCGGGCCCUGUGUGAGCGCGGCUGUGACGUCAACCUGCCUG
rnacentral:sRNA from 1 species